rnacentral:rRNA from 1 species
GACGAACGCUGGCGGAGUGCUUAACACAUGCAAGUCGAACGGAAAGGCCCUGCUUUUGUGGGGUGCUCGAGUGGCGAACGGGUGAGUAACACGUGAGUAACCUGCCCUUGACUUUGGGAUAACUUCAGGAAACUGGGGCUACUACCGGAUAGGAGCUCCUGCUGCCUGGUGGGGGUUGGAAAGUUUCGGCGGUUGGGGAUGGACUCGCGGCUUAUCAGCUUGUUGGUGGGGUAGUGGCUUACCAAGGCUUUGACGGGUAGCCGGCCUGAGUGGGUGACCGGCCACAUUGGGACUGAGAUACGGCCCAGACUCCUACGGGAGGCAGCAGUGGGGAAUAUUGCACAAUGGGCGGAAGCCUGAUGCAGCAACGCCGCGUGCGGGAUGACGGCCUUCGGGUUGUAAACCGCUUUCGCCUGUGACGAAGCGUGAGUGACGGUAAUGGGUAAAGAAGCACCGGCUAACUACGUG